GAUGAAGAACGUAGCGAAAUGCGAUAAGUAAUGUGAAUUGCAGAAUUCAGUGAAUCAUCGAAUCUUUGAACGCACAUUGCGCCCGCCAGUAUUCUGGCGGGCAUGCCUGUCCGAGCGUCAUUUCAACCCUCAAGCCCCCGGGCUUGGUGUUGGAGAUCGGCGAGCCCCCCGGGGCGCGCCGUCUCCCAAAUAUAGUGGCGGUCCCGCUGUAGCUUCCUCUGCGUAGUAGCACACCUCGCACUGGGAAACAGCGUGGCCACGCCGUAAACCCCCCACUUCUGAAAGGUUGACCUCGGAUCAGGUAGGAAUACCCGCUGAACUUAAGCAUAUCAAUAAGCGGAGGA
rnacentral:misc_RNA from 1 species